AGACGGAGGGUCCUAGCGUUGUUCGGAAUAACUGGGCGUAAAGGGUACGUAGGCGGUUUGGUCAGUUAGAUGUGAAAGCCCAGGGCUCAACCUUGGAACUGCAUUUAAUACUGCCAGACUUGAGAUCGGAAGAGGAAAGCGGAAUUCCUAGUGUAGAGGUGAAAUUCGUAGAUAUUAGGAGGAACAUCAGAGGCGAAGGCGGCUUUCUGGUCCGAUACUGACGCUGAGGUACGAAAGCGUGGGGAGCAAACAGGAUUAGAUACCCUUGUAGUCC
rnacentral:rRNA from 1 species